GGCUCAGAACGAACGCUGGCGGCGUGCUUAACACAUGCAAGUCGAACGCGAAAGGGACUUCGGUCCUGAGUAAAGUGGCGCACGGGUGAGUAACGCGUAGAUAACCUGUCUUCAUGUCUGGAAUAAUACGCCAAAGGGGUACUAAUACCGGAUAUUCUUGCUUUUCAUAAGUUAUGCAAGCAAAGGUGGCCUCUGCAUAUGCUACUGCAUGAAGAGGGGUCUGCGUACCAUUAGCUAGUAGGUGGGGUAAUGGCCUACCUAGGCGACGAUGGUUAGCGGGUCUGAGAGGAUGAUCCGCCACACUGGCACUGGAACACGGGCCAGACUCCUACGGGAGGCAGCAGUGAGGAAUAUUGCGCAAUGGGGGAAACCCUGACGCAGCGACGCCGCGUGAGUGAGGAAGGCCUUCGGGUCGUAAAGCUCUGUCAAGAGGAAAGAAGUGUACAAUGGCUAAUACCUGUUGUAUUUGACGGUACCUCUAAAGGAAGCACCGGCUAACUCCGUGCCAGCCGCCGC
rnacentral:rRNA from 1 species